GUAAAGUGUCCGUUGUUUCUUCGCAGUAUUCCUGCUUAAGAGAGGAUUUUAUUUCAGUACAAUAUACUGAAAAACUAUAUCACACAAAAAUUGCACAGUGAAGGCGGUCAGACAGUAUUUUCUCGAAGAAAUCGGCCCUCUGCGUGAGAAGUUCCACGCGGCACUCAGUCACGGCACAACCGCCUGGGGCUGUUCCUCCUCCUCGCGCGCGCGCGCGCGCGCACGCGGCCCACUCGCGGAUCGGUCUCUCCUCAUUCUCUCCUCCAGGAUGUCGGGCCCUCUGACCAAUGCGGUCUUCUUCCUGCUCCAGCUGGCGCUACUGCUCUCCCCAGCGCAGCGUCUGCAAGCCAAGGUAAGGGCGAGGCGUCCGUACACGGACACUCUCACAUACUGCUAACCCUUAUGGCUCCUU
rnacentral:lncRNA from 1 species